rnacentral:lncRNA from 1 species
GAAAGCUAAGUGUUGAUGACAGUGUGGGCCUGACCGUGCCUGAGUAAGCCCCAUGGGAACACAGCCGUGGUGGGAAGCAGCUUCCCAGCAGCCCUCCCCGCCAUCGGGAGAAUCCCCUGAGGCCAUGAGAGGGUCUCAGGGAGGUGGACGGCCCAUCAAGUGAGAACCGAGGGCACUGUGCACUCCUGAAUCCUAGGACUCCUCUUAGGUCAUUGACUAACAACAUCAACAAUGAAAUGAAUCUGAGAAAACAGGAAAUUGAGAGCAAGAGAAAAAAAAGUUAAUUAUACUGAUUUUGUAUAAGACCCCUUUGAACACAUUUUUAAAAAAUCAAAUAGAAGGUGCCCAGGUCCACUGUGCCUUGUGAAUAUUUGUCUUGUAUAUCCUAGAGAUCUACGCAUUCAUGUGGGAAUUGAAAAGGACCCACAUUUUACUAGAAGCAUCGUUCAUUUUUGCCUCAAAACAAUGCCCACAUGUCAGAAGAACUUUCACAAUUCACAGGAACAGUGACCUAAUUAACCAACCAUAAAAUUGCCAAAUCCCUACUUCUCAUUGUUUAAUAUGCUUAGAAAACCCAUUCAAAUUGUGAAUUAUCAAGUGAGCUUACACUGAUAAAUAGAUCCAAUAUUUAGGAAUUUUUAAAUCUUCCAUUCCUUUUUUUUUUUUGUCUUUUUAAAAAUAGAACAUUAGAAUAUGUCCUCCAGGUUUUAGAGAUGGGGGAGACAUGCUUCCCUUUAUUUCUCAGUAACUCAGCCAAAAAAAAUCUGGAGAGAAUGCAAAGACAGCUACUGGAAACUUUGAAAAGUAGAUGUGAGCCCAUCAGGGAAGAGCUAGAGAAUCUGAAAUCUACUCGAAAAAGUGAGUUUGAUACUUUGUGUUCCUAUCCUAACUCCACACAGCCUGAAACUUGGAAGUGAGCAUGAUGGAGUGGAUACAGUGAGAUGCAGAAGAAAUCCUCCAGUUUGGGCUGGAAGGGAAAAAAGAGACCCCUAAAACUCAGAGACAGUGGAAGAAAUUCCUGGUGUUUUUUUCUUCUCUUUUUCUCUGUUCUUCCACAUAGCAAUUUAGUAUUGACUACAGCAUCUCUGUUACAAUGAUAGCACCGAAAUGUUGUAACCAUAUGGCCUGCAAAGCCAAAAAUACUUAUCUGACCAUCUACAGGAAAAGUUUGCUGAUCUGGAUGAAAUAUUCUGAUACUAAAUAUUCCAUUUUGAGGCUGAUAUUCCUAAUCUAUUCAUAAGGAUGGCAUAUCUACCCAGUGGGCCUGCUGGGACUCCAGUUACCCGAUGCACAUACAUUGCUUGGUGUGGCAGUUUCGUGUGCAUUUUUGGUGAUGAUGCUCCACGGAACAUCUGCAGAUGUGCUGUCAAUUUGGACAGCUCUGACUACCGAGUGAAUGGGAAGUACUAACGAGAACUGUCUGCUUGGGAACUCCAUGAAGUUCGUGGCUUUUGUGAUUGAAAUAGCAUCAAUAAAAGGUUGACACUGUGGAACAACACAAGCCUGCAUGGACCUGGUUAUCUCUGACCUCGCACCACUCAUGAGACCAUACCUGAGCCCUACUCCACUUUGGCAGAACUGUUGCAUGGCCUCUCUUCAUAUAAUACCUCUCCGUACACCGUACACCGCAGCUCAAAGAAAGGAUAUAUGCUCCCUGUGAAGACUAAUGGAACUGUCCCUCCUGAUCCUCCUACAGACUUCCUCUGGCCUAAUGGGUGCACCAUUGCAUUAUAUCUGCCAUCUAUACACACAUAUACCUUUCAACCCUGCACUCUCUGAGAUGACUGGACUCAUGCCUAAAUAACUGAUGCUGUCCCUAGUGUAAGGUAAGCACUCAAUAGUUUCUCAGGAAAUGAAUAUGAUAAAUAUUUUGGCUGUUUAGAGGCUUUCCUU